GAAACAGUUAGCUCAGUGGUAGAGCGCUUCACAAAACCAGUGAAGAGGUGAUCGGUUCGAGUCCGAUACUGCUUCU
rnacentral:tRNA from 1 species